UACAGAGGUCUCAAGCGUUGUUCGGAUUCAUUGGGCGUAAAGGGCGCGUAGGCUGCGGGGUAAGUCGGGUGUGAAAUCUCAGAGCUCAACUCUGAAACUGCACUCGAUACUGCUCUGCUUGAGGACUGGAGAGGAGAUUGGAAUUCACGGUGUAGCAGUGAAAUGCGUAGAUAUCGUGAGGAAGACCAGUGGCGAAGGCGGAUCUCUGGACAGUUCCUGACGCUGAGGCACGAAGGCCAGGGGAGCAAACGGG
rnacentral:rRNA from 1 species